rnacentral:rRNA from 1 species
AACGAACGCUGGCGGCAUGCCUAACACAUGCAAGUCGAACGAGAUCUUCGGGUCUAGUGGCGCACGGGUGCGUAACGCGUGGGAAUCUGCCCUCAGGUUCGGAAUAACCAUUGGAAACGAUGGCUAAUACCGGAUGAUGACGUUAAGUCCAAAGAUUUAUCGCCUGAGGAUGAGCCCGCGUAGGAUUAGCUAGUUGGUGUGGUAAAGGCGCACCAAGGCGACGAUCCUUAGCUGGUCUGAGAGGAUGAUCAGCCACACUGGGACUGAGACACGGCCCAGACUCCUACGGGAGGCAGCAGUGGGGAAUAUUGGACAAUGGGCGAAAGCCUGAUCCAGCAAUGCCGCGUGAGUGAUGAAGGCCUUAGGGUUGUAAAGCCCUUUUACCCGGGAUGAUAAUGACAGUACCGGGAGAAUAAGCUCCGGCUAACUCCGUG